ACGGGAGGCAGCAGUGAGGAAUAUUGGUCAAUGGGCGAGAGCCUGAACCAGCCAUGUCGCGUGGAGGAAUAAGGAUCUAUGGUUCGUAAACUCCUUUUGCGGGGGGAUAAAGUGCGGGACGCGUCCCGUUUUGUAGGUACCCCGCGAAUAAGCAUCGGCUAACUCCGUGCCAGCAGCCGCGGUAAUACGGAGGAUGCGAGCGUUAUCCGGAUUUAUUGGGUUUAAAGGGAGCGUAGGCGGCCUUUUAAGUCAGCGGUCAAAUGUCAGCGCCCAACGCUGGCCUGCCGUUGAUACUGAUGGGCUUGAAUACACACAAGGAAGGUGGAAUUCGUCGUGUAGCGGUGAAAUGCUUAGAUAUGACGAAGAACUCCGAUUGCGAAGGCAGCCUUCUGGAGUGCGAUUGACGCUGAGGCUCGAAAGCGCGGGUAUCAAACAGGAUUAGAUACCCUGGUA
rnacentral:rRNA from 1 species